rnacentral:rRNA from 1 species
UACAGAGGGUGCAAGCGUUAAUCGGAAUUACUGGGCGUAAAGGGCGCGUAGGCGGCCGCCUAAGUCAGACGUGAAAUCCCUCGGCUCAACCGGGGAACUGCGUCUGAUACUGGGUGGCUUGAAUCCGGGAGAGGGAUGCGGAAUUCCAGGUGUAGCGGUGAAAUGCGUAGAUAUCAGGAGGAACACCGGUGGCGAAGGCGGCUAUCUGGACAGAAACUGACGCUGAGGCGCGAAAGCUAGGGGAGCAAACAGG